GUAGCUCCGUAAGAUAGCGCCCUACCACCGAAACCAGAGAUAGCGAUACCCCAAGUCGAUUUAGCUAGGGGUAUAGAAAUGAAAGAACAAGUUGUAACAGUUUGUAAUAAUUAGAUUGUAUUUUGGAAGUUAGAAUCAAGAUGUAAGGAAAAAAGUAAUGUGUAAAGUGCAUGUGAGCUGAAUGCUUGUAAUAGCAUAGUAUUUAUGUUUUCGAUACUUUCCUUAUACAUUCUGUUUUUGAAUACUGUUCCUGAUUGGAACUCGUGUAUUGUAUGGAUUGUGACGUCUGUGACGUCUAUGACGUACAGGGAAGACUCUCUCCGUUCGGCGGUCUGUUGGCAUGCCCGAAUACGACCAAAGUGGCAGGUCUCGGGGCGUGACAGAUAAAAUGGUAUCAGAGUAUAAAGAGAAUAAUAGAAAUGGUUUAGAUGGAUCUAGGAGACCUAGGAUAGUAAACCAUAGAGGUUAAGUCUUGUGAGAGACGAGGACUUGUGACUUGCGGCAAAAAGUAAAUGGAUUGGGUUGUGUUGUAAACCUCUAAAACGGAUGUUAGAGGUAGAUUCAAGGUGAGAUUUAUUCUCA
rnacentral:lncRNA from 1 species